UACGGAGGGUGCAAGCGUUAUCCGGAUUCACUGGGCUUAAAGGGUGCGUAGGCGGGCAGGUAAGUCAGUGGUGAAAUCUUCAAGCUCAACUUGGAAACUGCCAUUGAUACUAUUUGUCUUGAAUAUUGUGGAGGUAAGCGGAAUAUGUCAUGUAGCGGUGAAAUGCUUAGAUAUGACAUAGAACACCGAUUGCGUAGGCAGCUUGCUACACAAAUAUUGACGCUGAGGCACGAAAGCGUGGGGAUCAAACAGG
rnacentral:rRNA from 1 species